UUAGCGGCGGACGGGUGAGUAACACGUGGGUAACCUGCCUGUAAGACUGGGAUAACUCCGGGAAACCGGGGCUAAUACCGGAUGGUUGUUUGAACCGCAUGGUUCAAACAUAAAAGGUGGCUUCGGCUACCACUUACAGAUGGACCCGCGGCGCAUUAGCUAGUUGGUGAGGUAACGGCUCACCAAGGCAACGAUGCGUAGCCGACCUGAGAGGGUGAUCGGCCACACUGGGACUGAGACACGGCCCAGACUCCUACGGGAGGCAGCAGUAGGGAAUCUUCCGCAAUGGACGAAAGUCUGACGGAGCAACGCCGCGUGAGUGAUGAAGGUUUUCGGAUCGUAAAGCUCUGUUGUUAGGGAAGAACAAGUACCGUUCGAAUAGGGCGGUACCUUGACGGUACCUAACCAGAAAGCCACGGCUAACUACGUGCCAGCAGCCGCGGUAAUACGUAGGUGGCAAGCGUUGUCCGGAAUUAUUGGGCGUAAAGGGCUCGCAGGCGGUUUCUUAAGUCUGAUGUGAAAGCCCCCGGCUCAACCGGGGAGGGUCAUUGGAAACUGGGGAACUUGAGUGCAGAAGAGGAGAGUGGAAUUCCACGUGUAGCGGUGAAAUGCGUAGAGAUGUGGAGGAACACCAGUGGCGAAGGCGACUCUCUGGUCUGUAACUGACGCUGAGGAGCGAAAGCGUGGGGAGCGAACAGGAUUAGAUACCCUGGUAGUCCACGCCGUAAACGAUGAGUGCUAAGUGUUAGGGGGGUUUCCGCCCCUUAGUGCUGCAGCUAACGCAUUAAGCACUCCGCCCUGGGGGAGUACGGGUCGCAAGACUG
rnacentral:rRNA from 2 species